CUGACAGGGAAAGGGAAAGCAGAACCGGGGCGGCGGGGCUGGCGGCGCGGCGAUCUCGCCCCGGGCUGCGCGAGGCAGGAAGGCGCGCGGCGCGGGGGCCGACGGGGGCGCGGGGCCGCCGCGCCGGAAGUACCCGCGCCGCGGGAGGAAGCGCAGCGGGCGCCGAGCGGCGGAGCCGGCGGGAAGGCCCCUCGCCCCUACGCCUGGCGCGAGCGGGCGGCGGCGGCGCCGCGGCCCCAGGCCUGUCCCGAGACCCGGCGCGGCCAGUUCCUGGGACGGGACCCCUGCGGGGAGGAGGACGGGAGGAGGCCCCGCGGCGAGCUCGGAGGCCCAGCGGCCUGGGCCGCGUCACCGCAGCCACAUGGCCUCCGGAGUGGGCGCGGCCUUCGAGGAGCUGCCGCACGACGGCACGUGUGACGAGUGCGAGCCAGACGAGGCCCCCGGGGCCGAGGAAGUGUGCCGAGAGUGCGCCUUCUGCUACUGCCACCGCCACGCCGAGGCGCACAGGCAGAAGUUCCCCAGCCACCACCUGGCCCAGUACGUCCACGGCGCCGCCCCGGCCUGGACCGCGGACGCCCCCGCGCAGGGCGACGCGAAGGAAGAUGCCCAGGCCAAGGUGGAGAAUGAGAGGGAUGUAGAGAGCGAGGUGGGGGAGGAGAGCGAGUCCGAGGAAGACAGUGAAUCCGAAGAAGAGAGCGAGACGGAGGAAGAGAGUGAGGAUGAGAGCGAUGAAGACAGUGAAGACGACAGUGAGGAAGAGAUGGAGGAUGAGCAAGAGAGCGAAGCAGAGGAAGACAACCAAGAAGGAGAAUCUGAGGCCGAGGGAGAAACGGAGGCAGAAAGCGAAUUUGACCCAGAAAUAGAAAUGGAAGCGGAGAGAGUGGCCAAGAGGAAGUGUCCGGACCAUGGGCUCGAUUUGAGCACCUAUUGCCAGGAAGAUAAGCAGCUUAUCUGUGUCCUGUGUCCGGUCAUUGGGACUCACCAGGGCCACCAGCUCUCCACCCUAGAUGAAGCCUUCGAGGAACUAAGAAGCAAAGACUCUGGCGGACUGAAGGCGGCUAUGAUAGAGUUGGUGGAAAGGUUAAAGUUCAAGAGCUCAGAUCCUAAAGUAACCCGGGACCAGAUGAAGGUGUUUAUACAGCAGGAAUUUAAGAAAGUUCAGAAGGUGAUUGCUGAUGAGGAGCAGAAGGCCCUUCAUCUAGUGGACAUCCAGGAAGCAAUGGCUACCGCUCAUGUGACUGAGAUACUGGCAGACAUCCAGUCCCACAUGGAUAGGUUGAUGACUCAGAUGGCCCAAGCCAAGGAACAACAUGAUACCUCUAAUGAAUCAGCUGAGCCAAAGGCGGAGGGUGACGAGGAAGGACCCAGGGGGUAGAGUGGAAAUCGGCUGAAACCUUGAAAGGAGCAUCCUAAUUAAAAGGGUAAGAGGUGGAUGCCUCUGACUUCAGGACAGACAGGAUUGAAACUGAAACCAGUGUCUGACCCAGAGGCAUCCUGCCCUAAGUCCCCGGGACGGUGUCUUGGUGGCAGGCCCUUUGGCACGACUGUUGGCUGGAGCCCACAAGAACCAAGCGGUGCCAGUGAAGACGAGGACACAUGAAGGCUUGCUGUCCCCAGUGGAAACUCCUCCCUCUCCCUGUGUGUAUGUGACGGCGUGUAUGUAACGGCUUCUGAUUUCUGUGAAAGCUGCCCAGCAACAAACGUCCUUCCACCGGAUCCAUCCCCAGGUCCACAGCAGGCACACAUCUGUCCAAGGGAUGACCAACUUUAUUGUCACUGACUGUGCUUGUCAUUCUCUUGUCAUGGUAGGUCAAGGAAAAGUGCCCCUGUGAUCAACCAGGAGCAGUUAAUUAAGAAGCGUCCUUCAGGUAGUCCCUCAAUGGCUGCUUUGAACUUACUCAGGAAAGCCAGCCCUUGGAAUAUCGUAUACCCAGACAGCAUCGCUUCAUCUGGAAGGAUCUGGAAUAAUCUUGAAGGGCAGUCAGAACUUUUUCCCUACCUGCGAAUAAAACCCCACUUUAUUUAUACUGAAGCAUGAAAUAAUGGGGGAGGGGCAAAGCAGGGCUCUGUAGAUAGUUUCUGAAAGUCCCAUUAUACAGUUGUGAAAAUGUGGUUCCAUGAAGUGAGAUGGGUGGUCUGAAGAUGGGGUUGGAGAAAGAGUUAAAAGUUUGAAAUACAGAGAUAUUUUUAGUAUAUGAGGUUAUCCAGCACUUCAGAUCCAUAAUUCAGUGCUGUGGAAAUGAAAAAAAUGAUUGAAGAGGUGGAAAGGAAAUGACUUUAAAAAAAAAAAAAAAGGACCAAAGAGAUCUGAUUAAAAGUUGAAAUCAGUAUUUCUGAACUCAAAUUGCCUGAGUUUCCAAAAUAGUCACUAAAGGAUCUGAUGGAGCCUGAGUUAUUUGGGUGAAUUCUGCCAGUUUUCUGGGUCUUGUCACAACAUGAAGUCUGCAAUGUAUAUUGCAAAGUGGGAGUUUUUCAGUGUAGGUUUUUGGUGCCCUCGCCCCAACCCCCAUGGCCUCAUUUGGCUUAAAUGCAGUGUAGGGAGAGUUCUUAUCGCUCUGGUGUGCUGAGUCAAGCCCCGUCUCCCAGCAGGUGCACCCACCUUUUACUCCGGCUGGAACCCCUCUUCCCAUGGCAUCCCACCCACCGGCCUUCGGACCCUCUCCUGCAGCCAGGCUCUCCCCUCUCGAGUACCAUGAGCAGAGGCACACCGUGGUUGCCCUUCCAGCCCUUCCCCACUCCCGAGUCACAUUUCCUUACCAUCAGGUUUUCUAUUCCCAAGUAAGCCAUGAUUUCUAGGGAGUGCAAACCCUCAAGCUAAAGAACCUGCAUUUUCUCAGACAUCAGUUUAUGGUUUGGAGUUAGGGGAUGCCCUUACUUUUAGAUAAAACAGUUAAUUAUGAAAUAGAAUGUUCGUACACACAGUUAAAAUAAAAUGGGACACUUCCCAGGGAAUUCUUAUUUGUGAGUGGGAUGUAUGUGUUCCCUGUCCUCUGCCUUUAGCGGUAUUUUGGUGUCCACUCCCGAGAAGUACAAUCGGAACCGUAUCCACGCAGCUGACUCAGGGCCUCGACUUCUAGUUGCCUCCGCAGCAGAGCUGAAGGCAUCUGCCCUGGAGAAAUCCCUCUCCUGCCUGCCUGUGACCUGUGUACCUAUCACAGAGCUUUAGGGCCAGCUGGUUUGUGUGUGUGUGUGUGUGGGGGGGGGGGGGGGGGCUGGUUUUGAGGCCGAAGCAAUACUUACUGUAGGAAGCCUAUUUAUGUCAUUGUCCAAUCCUGUGUUUGCUAUGAAACUAUUUCUUUGAGGCCAGGAAGCUACUGGGCAUAUCUGCUUCUGGGUUAGGAUUACCCUGACUCACUACAUAUGUUAGGAUGUUGGGACCAGGAGUCCUUUGGGCAGUUAAAAAUAAA